CUUGUUCUGUAUUGUAAACUCAUUAUCAGAUGGGGGAGCGAUGUUGUCCCAUUGGAAGUGCAGUCUCGGGAAAAAGUUAAAUUAAAGAAAUAAAGAGAAGAUAAAAGAGAAGUGUUACCCAGAACACCAAAAGCCCUCUCAACGCAGUUUCUUGUCUUGAUGUGACUGGCAUUGUACUUCUCCUGUUGUCCUGCUUGGGGCGUGAGGAAAGGAGUCAUUAGCCAUGGACGAAGGGGGUAGCCACUGUCCCCUAAAAGCCAUCCUCCACCUGGCAGCUGGUCCAUUAUCUCGGGAAUGCUCGAGUUUGCAAGUCAGCGGUCACGAUUCCCUGCAUAUUUAUGGCAUCAAACCCUUUCCUGCACACAAAAACAUGCUCAUCGUCUCCAGUCAUUCCCAUGAUUGGAAUCAGAGUUCCAUCAAUGGCACCAACUACGUUGGGGAAGUUUGCC